AGAACGAACGCUGGCGGCAUGCCUAACACAUGCAAGUCGAACGAACCCUUCGGGGUUAGUGGCGCACGGGUGCGUAACGCGUGGGAACCUGCCUUUAGGUUCGGAAUAACUCAGAGAAAUUUGAGCUAAUACCGGAUAAUGUCUUCGGACCAAAGAUUUAUCGCCUUUAGAUGGGCCCGCGUUAGAUUAGAUAGUUGGUGGGGUAAUGGCCUACCAAGUCGACGAUCUAUAGCUGGUCUGAGAGGAUGAUCAGCCACACUGGGACUGAGACACGGCCCAGACUCCUACGGGAGGCAGCAGUGGGGAAUAUUGGACAAUGGGCGAAAGCCUGAUCCAGCAAUGCCGCGUGAGUGAUGAAGGCCUUAGGGUUGUAAAGCUCUUUUACUAGGGAUGAUAAUGACAGACCUAGAGAAUAAGNUCCGC
rnacentral:rRNA from 1 species